rnacentral:rRNA from 1 species
UACGAAGGGGGCUAGCGUUGCUCGGAAUGACUGGGCGUAAAGGGCGCGUAGGCGGAUGGCACAGUCAGAUGUGAAAUUCCCGGGCUUAACCUGGGGGCUGCAUUUGAUACGUGUUGUCUUGAGUUCGGAAGAGGGUCGUGGAAUUCCCAGUGUGGAGGUGAAAUUCGUAGAUAUUGGGAAGAACACCGGUGGCGAAGGCGGCGACCUGGUCCGACGCUGACGCUGAGGCGCGAAAGCGUGGGGAGCAAACAGG